GGGGAUUUAGCUCAGUGGCAUAAGCACCUGCCUUGCAAGCAGGUGGUCGGCGGUCCUGAGUUCGAUCCCCG
rnacentral:tRNA from 1 species